rnacentral:rRNA from 1 species
AACUGGGAUUAGAUACCCCACUAUGCCUAGCCGUAAACUUUGAUGGAAACAUACAACUGACAUCCGCCAGGGGACUAUAAGCGCCAGCUUAAAACCCAAAGGACUUGGCGGUGCCUCAGACCCACCUAGAGGAGCCUGUUCUAGAACCGAUAACCCCCGUUCAACCUCACCACCUCUUGUUUUCCCCGCCUAUAUACCACCGUCGUCAGCUUACCCUGUGAAGGCCUUAUAGUAAGCAAAAUGGGCAAAACCCAAAACGUCAGGUCGAGGUGUAGCGCAUGGGGUGGGAAGAAAUGGGCUACAUUCUCUAAAUUAGAGCACUACGAACCACGCUGUGAAACCAGCGUCCAAAGGUGGAUUUAGCAGUAAAUAGAAAAUAGAGAGUUCUCUUGAAACUGGCUCUGAGGCGCGCACACACCGCCCGGUCACCCU